GUGCUAGCUUCAGCAGCAUAUAUACUAAAAUUGGAAAGAUACAGAGAUUAGCAUGGCCCCUGUGCAAAGAUGACAUGCAAAUUCAUGAAGCAUUCCAUAUUUUU